rnacentral:rRNA from 1 species
GACGAACGCUGGCGGCGCGCCUUACGCAUGCAAGUCGAACGGACCUUCGGGUCAGUGGCAGACGGCUGAGUAACGCGUAGGAAACCUACCCGGUGGCGGGGGAUAACCCGCCGAAAGGUGAGCUAAUACCGCAUAAGCUUGUUUGGUGAAAAUCCGUACAAGGAAAGCAGUAAUGCGCCACCGGAGGGUCCUGCGUCCUAUCAGGUAGUUGGUGGGGUAAUGGCCUACCAAGCCGAUGACGGGUAGCUGGUCUGAGAGGACGACCAGCCAGAAGGGGACUGAGACACGGCCCCUACUCCUACGGGAGGCAGCAGCGAGGAAUCUUGGGCAAUGGACGAAAGUCUGACCCAGCGACGCCGCGUGAGGGAUGAAGGCCUUCGGGUCGUAAACCUCUUUUAUGGGAGAAGAAGUUCUGACGGUAUCCCAUGAAUAAGCCACGGCUAACUACGUGCCAGCCGCCGCGGUAAU